GCUUUUGUUGUUUGCAUAUAGUUAGGACAUCAGCCGUCAUCAUUGAGAACCUACUUCUGCGGCGAUUCCUCUUCCGGCGCUCAUCUUUGUUGCUGCGAUCUUUAUGAGGACGAAACACUUCCUCCUCUGUAACGCCUUCUGAAGUCUCCAUAUGUAGUGUUCUCUGAGAAUUCGGUGAUACAUGGAUUCAUUCAUGCUGCUCGCGCCACCGUCCAUCUUUAUGAGGCGACCGAGACGGUUCCAUCGAUUUACUCCGGAGAUCAAUUGUCUAUGGAUGAUGUGAAGGUUUACGAUGCCGUUGUGGAGAAACCCAUCAGAUGCUUUCCAAAUUGUUGCAUAUUCCCUGUGUCAAUCGGUGGCUCUGGUACUCAUUCAUUUUUGCAGGUGUGGAGGCUGUAACGGCUUUAGGAAGCAGAGUUGACCGGUUAGAGAAAUAGAUCAAAGAGCUUCUCCCUGGAAUCCGACACGUUGUCAUCGAAGCACACAAUCCCAUAGACCAAUCUCUAUGAUCUGAAACUUUCCUCCAAAGGUCUGAGUUAUCGAUGCAUUCUCUUGGCCUCAAGAAAUGGAACCCACAAGCCUGACAAUUUUGGAGAAAUAGAAAAGAGAACUGUGUCAGGUUUCUGAUUGGGAAAUAUAUACUUAUGAAUUCUUCUCUGUAGUGUUUUUAAUGUCAGAAAGUCUCAUGUGUUUGCUAAGGAGAAAGGUUGUGUGAAUGAUUGAGCUUUGUUUAGUGAACCAAACCAAAGUGUUUGUAUGUCUACUUAACAACCGUUUACCUGUUCAUUAAAGUAGAUACAAGUUGUUUAAAGAAAA